AAUACAAGUACUUGAAAAAUUCCGUGGAAAACUAAAAACAGGAGCAAACCCUAGAGAGAGAGAGAAAAGCCAUGGGUACGCCAGAAACAUCAAGAGAACCGUGUCCAGAUCGCAUACUAGAUGACAUCGGUGGCGCGUUCGCCAUGGGUGCGGUGGGAGGCUCUGCUUUCCACUUCCUGAAAGGCGUCUACAACUCUCCCUCUGGUGCUCGAUUAGUCGGUGGCACGCAAGCCGUGCGUCUCAACGCUCCUCGCGUCGGUGGAAGCUUCGCUGUGUGGGGUGGACUCUUCUCUGCCUUCGACUGUACCAUGGUCUAUCUUCGCCAAAAGGAAGACCCUUGGAACUCGAUUGUGGCUGGUGCAGCCACCGGUGGCUUCCUCUCCAUGCGUCAAGGUCUCGGCGCCUCCGCUCGCUCCGCCGUGUUCGGUGGAGUCCUUUUGGCUCUCAUCGAAGGAGCUGGAAUCAUGCUUAACCGUAUGCUUAGUGGUCAACAACAGAUGCCUGUGAUCAUCGAGGACCCUCAGCCGAAUAUUCCUGGUUACAUGGGCCAGGUACCGGGCCUGCCCCAAGCCCCAGUUUCAGCCCAAGCCCAACCAGAUUCUUCUUCUACGGACUCUGGUUCGGGUUGGCUUGGAGGCUGGUGGUCGAAGAACAAAGAGUCGGAAUCCACCAGUAGUGGAAGCGAGACGAAGAUCUUGGAGAGCUUCGAUGCCCCACCGGUUCCCAACUUUGAGUACAAGUGAGGAAAAUAAAAGUUGCCUGGCUAGAGGCGAGUCCAAAGGGCUCUUCUUUAGAAAGAUUCCCUACCUUACUUCUUUUUCCGGGUGUUUCUUUGGUCUCAAUAAUUUGCAGGACCCUUGUCGUGCUUUCUUCCCAAUUGAUGAAGUUCAUUUUCAUGGUUUUAUCUUUAAAUAGAUAUCUUCCUCGAGAGGGUUACUCCAGCUAUUCCAUACUUUUGUACACAUGUACUGAUUGUUUUGACCGGUAGGCAAUAUUUUAUUUUAUUUUUAUAGCUUAAAAGUUUUCUAAGAGCGGGACAUGAUAGCAGAUGUAGUUUGUUACCAUUAUAAUGCUGAAAUUAGAUGCAAACAGCGAUAAUAUCACUGUUCUAUUA